UACGUAGGGUGCAAGCGUUAAUCGGAAUUACUGGGCGUAAAGCGUGCGCAGGCGGUGAUGUAAGUCAGAUGUGAAAUCCCCGGGCUCAACCUGGGAACUGCAUUUGUGACUGCAUCGCUGGAGUGCGGAAGAGGGGGAUGGAAUUCCACGUGUAGCAGUGAAAUGCGUAGAGAUGUGGAGGAAUACCGAUGGCGAAGGCGGCCCCCUGGGAUAACACUGACGCUCAUGCACGAAAGCGUGGGGAGCAAACAGG
rnacentral:rRNA from 1 species